UCUAAGACAGUUGGGGGGAACUGACAACUGUCUCUUUCAAGCUGGGAUUCAGACAGAGAGACUGUGUGUCAAAGAGUCUCCCUGAAGAAAUCAUCUUUGAAGAUGCCUGACUUGGAUUAUCUUCAAGAAAAACUACAAGAAAAAGUUGGCCUUAGGAGUCAUCUUCAGCUCAAGCCAUCAUCUGGACCUACCUCUUGGAGAGAACUUGGAUGAGUGAAUAGCUGGCUUUCCUUUCCUGUCUUCUGGAGAGUGUUUAAUUCUGGCUGAAGGUCAACAAGUCCUGGCUAAGUUAAGCACUGGAGAAAUAUUUAGAUAGAUAGGCUAAAUGUUUUCUUUACCUUUCUGUUUUUCUUUACUUUCACUCUUUCCACCUCUUUUAUAAAUAAAAGCUAUUAAAAGUCA